rnacentral:rRNA from 1 species
UACGUAGGGUGGCAAGCGUUGUCCGGAAUUAUUGGGGCGUAAAGCGCGCGCAAGGGCGGUCCUUUAAGUCUGAUGUGAAAGCCCACGGCUCAACCGUGGAGGGUCAUUGGAAACUGGGGGACUUGAGUGCAGAAGAGGAAAGCGGAAUUCCACGUGUAGCGGUGAAAUGCGUAGAGAUGUGGAGGAACACCAGUGGCGAAGGCGGCUUCUGGUCUGUAACUGACGCUGAGGCGCGAAAGCGUGGGGAGCAAACAGG